CGAUGAUAUUUACAUUGUAGGUACACGGUUUUAUGAUUCUUUAAGUAUUAGCGUUGUGUUCGAUGGAUAUUUCACAAAAUUCAAGAUACUUACAAGAUGUUUUAAAUUAGAUGGGUAUUCAAUUUUAACUGCAGUUUCAAAAAUAAUUAGGGUAAUUACACAAUAUAUGAGGAGACCCCAUACAGAAAACUUCUUCAAAUAAAAAAUGCCUCAAUUCAUAAUGCUGGAGCGUAUGAAUGUUUUUCAACAAAAAACAGAAACGAGUUCAUGAAGCUUUAUCUUUUUCCUGAUGACUCCUGUUUCAUAGAUGCUGGAGCCAUAGUCAGACCCAGCGGAAGUUUUUACAUUUCAUAUUGACCAUCGAUUGAUAAACGAAGAAAAUGAUCUAGAAUCAUUAACCCCUUCAAAUAAUCUACAGCUACCUAUGACAUAAUUACCUACGUUUAAUGUACAGGAGAUUAUCGUCAUAUUUUCUUAAUUCAUCCCAAUAAAAACAUCGAUCCACGACUUCA